rnacentral:rRNA from 1 species
UACGGAGGGGGCUAGCGUUGUUCGGAAUUACUGGGCGUAAAGCGCACGUAGGCGGGUUUGUAAGUUAGGGGUGAAAGCCUGGAGCUCAACUUCAGAAUUGCCCUUAAGACUGCAUCCCUAGAAUCCGGGAGAGGUGAGUGGAAUUCCGAGUGUAGAGGUGAAAUUCGUAGAUAUUCGGAAGAACACCAGUGGCGAAGGCGGCUCACUGGACCGGCAUUGACGCUGAGGUG